CACUGUGCAAACUCUAAAAGCAAAUUACUUCUCUCUGAGGGAGGAAGUAGGCAGUCAUAAAGCUUUAUUGAAAUGAGCAUUUGGAGUGGGCUUUGAAGAAGAGGUUAAAAUUUGCUAGGCAGAGAUAAAUUGAGGUAGGUAUGUCUGAAGUGAUGGAGGGGUAAAGGCAUGGGAAAUAUACAGUGUGUGCUUGGGCAGUAGUGAGCAAUCUGGUUGGGCAAGAGUCAAAAAUAUGUAAUUAGAAAGGAGGAAUUGGUGAGAAUUACAUGGGAAAAGAUCAUUUGCAGCCACAUUCAAGUUGGCCAAAUUGAGAAACUUGAACUUUAUCCUGUAGAUAUCAAAGGCUUGGGGCAGAGGAGUAAUGUGAUUACACCUAUGCUGUAGGACAAGUCUGUCAGUGCAGUGAGGAGAGGAGACUCAGUAGGAGACCUCUGUAAGAGCCCAGGCAAGACAGAACCAACCUUUUUCAGAAGAGGAUGGGGGCAAGAGAUGGAUGUACAAGAUAUGAAGGACAUAGAAGCCACAGAAAGUGGCACCUCUUUGGUUAUGGGGCCAAGUGGAGGAGAGAGUUGAAGAUGAUCCUUUCCACAUGUUGCCAUCAGCAGCCCAGCCCUUGGCAAAUUAUUGGCUUUAUUUUCACAGCUUUGGAGACUUCAGCACCCCAUCCUCUGCUGUCAGAGCCAUGUGCACUUAUUUCCUUUCCACUGUCAAAGUCUGUCAUCUGGAAGGGUAUGAAAUUCAUCCUGUCUGGAUUUUAAGACACUUUGGAUGAAUGGAAUGUCAUUUUCUGAGAUCUGGAAGCCCGAGAACUCUUUAACAUAAGAGAUCUGAGUGUGGAUAUCCACCAGGUAAAAGUGGUUCCUCAACGCCAGGCUUUACCAUAUCAAAUGAUAAGAAUACAAAAUAUUUUCACUUACCCCUCAGACUGUUAUGAGCAGAAAAUACUGUUUGUGACCUAAUUUUUCUGCUUUAUACCUGAAUCUUCUAUAGUCCACUUCUGUAACAUAGGUUGAUAUUCACACGUACUUUUGAUCCCACAUUUAAUAUUAAAGCAAGUGAAUAUUUCUUCAUUGAGUUUGUUUUGCAAUGAGAUUUACAUAUAUUACCACCAUUUUCAUAAUGCACAUUUUUAGAAGAUAGGAUGAAAUAUGUAGAUAUUUCAUGGUACCUCUAUUCAAAAACUUUUGUGAGAAUCAAAAUAUUUAACAUUUCAGCCUUUAAAAGAAAGGAAAUUCUGACAUAUGCUAUAACAUGGAUGAAACUUGAGGACAUAAUGCUAUGUGAACUAAGCCAGUCACAAAAAAGAAAAAAAAUAUGUAUGAUUCCACUCAUAUGAAUUUUUAUUUACAGUAGUCAAAAUCAUAGAGACAGAAAGUAGAAUAGGUCAGGGGUAGAGGGAGAGGGAGUGAGGAAUUAUUGUUUAAUGGGUAUAGAGUUUCAGUUUCACAAGAUUAAGAGACUUUUGGAGAUGGACGAUGGUGGAGGUAGCACAAAAUUAUGAUUUACUUAAUACCACUGAGCUGUACAAUUAAAAAUAAUUAAGAUGGUAAAUUUUAUGUUAUAUAUUUAUGUUAUUUUGUUAUAUUUUAUGCUAUAUGUUUUAUGUAUAUAUACAAAAAUAAUUGGAAAAAUAUCUAACACUGAGUUUUAUAUCAUAUCAUUAUUAAAUUCAUUCAAUAAAUACUGAGUACCUUCUAUGUACCA
rnacentral:lncRNA from 12 species